GAUGAACGCUGGCGGCGUGCCUAAUACAUGCAAGUCGAGCGAACGGACGAGAAGCUUGUUUCUCUGAUGUUAGCGGCGGACGGGUGAGUAACACGUGGAUAACCUACCUAUAAGACUGGGAUAACUUCGGGAAACCGGAGCUAAUACCGGAUAAUAUCUUGAACCGCAUGGUUCAAAAGUGAAAGACGGUCUUGCUGUAACUUAUAGAUGGAUCCGCGCUGCAUUAGCUAGUUGGUAAGGUAACGGCUUACCAAGGCAACGAUGCAUAGCCAACCUGAGAGGGUGAUCGGCCACACUGGAACUGAGACACGGUCCAGCCUCCUACGGGAGGCAGCAGUAGGGAAUCUUCCGCAAUGGGCGAAAUCCUGACGGAGCACCGCCGCGUGGGUGAUGAAGUUCUUCGGAUCGUAAAACUCUGUUAUUGGGGAGGAACAUAUGUGUAAGUAACUGUGCACAUCGUGACGGUACCUACUCAGAAAGCCACGGCUAACUACGUG
rnacentral:rRNA from 1 species